rnacentral:lncRNA from 1 species
UGCUCAGUGAAGAAGGAUUUUGAGCUGGCAAGGCGAAUUGGAGGGAAAGGACAACCUUGGUGAAAGAUUGCGCAUAAAACCAUGUCUAUCAGUAAAUAGUCAACGCCUAUUCAAUUUACAAUUGCAUUAAAUAUGUGUAUGGAAUUUUCAAAUAGUAAAAUAGUUAUUGAAGGACGGGUAUGCUCGCUAUUCCAGAACUAAGAACUUCCAAGAGGAGUCUCAAAAGCUUAUGAAUGAAGAGGUUUUCCACCUCGUUGUAGCUGGUNAAAGAUUGUGCAUAAAACCAUGUCUAUCAGUAAAUAGUCAACUCCUAUUCAAUUUACAAUUGCAUUAAAUCUAUGUAUGGAAUUCUCAAAUAGUAAAAUAGUUAUUGAAGGACGGGUAUGCUUUCUAUUCCAGAACUAAGAACUUCCAAGAGGAGUCUCAAAAGCUUAUGAAUGAAGAGGUUUUCCACCUCGUUGUAGCUGGUAGAUUUAGUUUAGUAGCCUGUUGUAAUUUCUAUUGAAGUUCGUAGAUUCUAUCACUUGCUUCAUUUUGCAGUUGCUAUGUGAAAUGGCUUUGGAAAACAGUGAAAUCAGUUAUGCUUACAAGUUACGAACCUGUGUGGAAGGUUUUGGUUGAUUUGAUUGAUUAUGCAAUCCCUAUUAGAUGUACUAAUCAACCUAGCGAAAUGGCUAAAAGUGACAAGGUAAUUGACCUCAAAUUGUGAGUCAAACUAAGUUUGUCGUUGUGAUUGAUUAUGCAUGGAGAAUGAUUCUGCUUGUUGGACAUUGUUU